rnacentral:lncRNA from 1 species
CUACUCUAAAUCUCCUCAUAAAACAUUAUAUCAUGAAAAAAAAUUAGAUUUUCAUGAUAGGGUUUGUCCUAACAUAAAUACCUCAUAGGCUAAGUCCUGAGCUACAACACAAUCCCAAGAUUAAACCCAACAAAAUAACCCCCCCUUUACCUCCAAUUCAAUGGAAGAAAAACUUCAAAAAAAUGGUUGAGAAGAUGGUAUGACAAAACAUCCCACUAGCUCUAAUUCGAAUUGUUUGGUCAAUGCUAGCCCCCGUUGAGUAGUAGGUGCUAAUCUUCAAAAGAACUAUUACUAAUUUUCACCCUAACCCCUCACAUAAUGGCUUCAAAGUUGAAACCCACUUUUCUCUUUUAAACAGGACAAACCAAGAGAGGGCAGGGAAACAGAGAAGACAAGGGGAAAAAAAAAAGAAACGUGAGUGGAAAGGGAAUCUUGGUCAAAGAGGAGAAAGAAAAGGAUUAUAGAUACUAAAUGCUUCCUUUUUGCCUUAAGGCCUUGUUUGGCCUCAAAAAAAUAAUACUAUUUGUUAUGGUUCAGAGCAUUUAGCCCCCUUCUCUCAUUCAUACUUGCAUUACUCAACAUAAGCCCAAAACAAAUUUAAUCAACCAUAAUUAAAAUAACUUAGGCCCAAUCACCCCACAAAUUGGACCCAAUUAAAAAAUAAGUCUAAUUAUAACCCAAACCCCAAACGGUGCAUCUAUAUAUAUAUAUACAUGGCAUGAUGCCGUCAUACAUGUGUCCUAAUUCUAUACGUCAUAGGAAAAAAAUUUGAAACCUUACAAACCUCCACCACUAAAGAAAUUUCGUCCACGAAAUUAGAUAAACAUACCAGUUGGUAAAAAGAUCUAUGGAUUAAUUCGCACGAACUUCAAACUUGCGUCCCACGUAGUCUCCUCCCGCCAUGGGCUGAAGCCAAGCUCUUCACCAAGGGGAUGUGGUCUUUCUUACGAACCAUGGUCCCGCGUGUUCCAAUUACACGGAAUCAGUCGCUCCUUAUACGUGAUGUCCUCAUUGAUAACAAGAGCUCCCCAAAUCAAAACGUGUGAAGGAUCGGGUUCAUAUUUUCGCAAAGCGAAAACAUGAAACACAUAUGUACAUUCGCCAAACGCAGUGGUAAAGCAAGACAAUACGCCAUGCCUCCGAACGGUCAAGAAUCUCAAAUGGGCCAAAUAACCUUGGCCGAUAGCUUGCUGUGCUGUUAUGCCCAAAACGCAUUAUACCCCUUUGGGUGAAACAUUCAAGAACACGUUUGAUCUCCCACGGUGAAUCAAGAGUGACAUUCCUCCGGUCGACGUAGUUCUUUUUGAUGGACUCUGUGCCAUAAGUACAACGUUUCCUAAUCAAAACCUAAUUUCUCGGUAGUAGCAUGACCCAAUCCGACGUUACAAAUGUUGCCUCCCGACGUCGUCCAACAUUACAGGUGACCACACAGUCUUCCGUACAAUGCCUCAAAAGGUGUUCAUCCCAAUGCUACUGAUAGCUAUAUUAUACGCAAUUCUACUAAGGUAGAGAUCCGUCCCAGUUAUCCCCCGAAAUCAAGUUACACAUGACCGAAGCAAGCAUGUCUUCCAAAAUUUUAAUAGUAACUCAGACUGCCCGUCAGUCGCAGGGUUAAAACGCAGUGCUUAAUCUCAAAUCAGAGCCAAGAGCUGACUUCAUCCUCUUCCAAGAGCGAUGUAAAAUGCGGAUCUCUAUCAGAAACGAUUAGAUUACCGAAACUCCGUUGAAGUCGAACGAUUUCAGAACACGAACAUAAAUGGACCGCCCAGAUCCCUCGCGAAUUUGACAAAUGCGAUAGGAGAACGUGCGACAGAUUGGUCAUCAAACGAUUAACCCAACAAAUGGUUGUCAGCCCUCUAAGUGCACCUAGGCAAACGGACACAAAGUCCAUAGUGAUAUGCUCCAUUUCCACUCCGCAACCGGUAACAGUCUGUAACAAACCCAUGGUUUCUAGGCUCGGGCUUUUACUUUUGUGACAAGUCAAACACUUCGAAAGAAGAAGGCAACGUUUUCUUACAUUCAGCCUCCACCAAAAAAUGGCGACACAAAUCAUGGAUACAUCUUCGUCCCUAUAGUAUGAACUGCUAAGUCGUGAAAUGAUGAAACUGAUUGAAGAAACAAAGUCUCACUAGACAAAGGUACAAAAUCAUCUAGAACUUAUACCUCAAACCCUGAUCCGAUGGCAAAACACAUCUGUCGGUCUUACACCAUAGCAAUACGGUACAAAAACUUGUCUGGCCUCUACGGUAUUGUUGUUGUGCCUCAAUAACCCGACUGAUGAUAGAUGGUUCCGACAGAUACAAUAACAAUGUAGCAACUCGUCAGUUCUUGUUGAGAAGCAAAUCAUCUCACCGAGAUCCUGAAGCAUUUACCCACUAUAAAUGGAAACGCUCGACAAAAGUACUAAGAGAUUUUUCUACUAAGGCACCUCGGCCACAAUGUUGGCCUUCCCGGGAUGAUAUUGUAAUUCAAAAGUCGUGGUACUCCAAUGUACUUACAA